rnacentral:rRNA from 1 species
AUGCCCUUUCGGGGCUCUUUGGUGAUUCAUAAUAACUUUUCGAAUCGCAUGGCCCUUGCGCCGGCGAUGGUUCAUUCAAAUUUCUGCCCUAUCAACUUUCGAUGGCAGGGUCUUGGCCUGCCAUGGUUACAACGGGUAACGGAGGGUUAGGGCUCGACCCCGGAGAAGGAGCCUGAGAAACGGCUACUACAUCCAAGGAAGGCAGCAGGCGCGCAAAUUACCCAAUCCCGAUUCGGGGAGGUAGUGACAAUAAAUACUGAUACAGGGCUCUUUUGGGUCUUGUAAUUGGAAUGAGUACAAUUUAAAUCCCUUAACGAGGAACAAUUGGAGGGCAAGUCUGGUGCCAGCAGCCGCGGUAAUUCCAGCUCCAAUAGCGUAUAUUAAAGUUGUUGCAGUUAAAAAGCUCGUAGUUGAACCUUGGGCCUGGCUGGCCGGUCCGCCUCACCGCGUGCACUGGUUCGGCCGGGCCUUUCCCUCUGGGGAACCCUAUGGUCUUCACUGAUCGUAGCGGGGAACCAGGACUUUUACUGUGAAAAAAUUAGAGUGUUCAAAGCAGGCCUAUGCUCGAAUACAUUAGCAUGGAAUAAUAAAAUAGGACGUGUGGUUCUAUUUUGUUGGUUUCUAGGACCGCCGUAAUGAUUAAUAGGGACAGUCGGGGGCAUCAGUAUUCAAUUGUCAGAGGUGAAAUUCUUGGAUUUAUUGAAGACUAACUACUGCGAAAGCAUUUGCCAAGGAUGUUUUCAUUAAUCAGGAACGAAAGUUAGGGGAUCGAAGACGAUCAGAUACCGUCGUAGUCUUAACCAUAAACUAUGCCGACUAGGGAUCGGACGGUGUUAUUUUUUGACCCGUUCGGCACCUUACGAGAAAUCAAAGUC